AGAGUUUGAUCCUGGCUCAGGAUGAACGCUAGCGGGAGGCCUAACACAUGCAAGCCGAGCGGUAUUUCUUCUUCGGAAGAGAGAGAGCGGCGUACGGGUGCGUAACACGUGUGCAACCUACCUUUAUCUGGGAGAUAGCCUUUCGAAAGGAAGAUUAAUAUCCCAUAAUAUAAAUUAAGGCAUCUUAAUUUAUUGAAAGCUCCGGCGGAUAGAGAUGGGCACGCGCAAGAUUAGAUAGUUGGUGAGGUAACGGCUCACCAAGUCUGUGAUCUUUAGGGGUCCUGAGAGGGAGAUCCCCCACACUGGUACUGAGACACGGACCAGACUCCUACGGGAGGCAGCAGUGAGGAAUAUUGGACAAUGGGUGCAAGCCUGAUCCAGCCAUCCCGCGUGAAGGAUGACGGUCCUAUGGAUUGUAAACUUCUUUUGUACAGGAAUAAACCUACUCUCGUGAGAGUAGCUGAAGGUACUGUACGAAUAAGCACCGGCUAACUCCGUGCCAGCAGCCGCGGUAAUAC
rnacentral:rRNA from 1 species